rnacentral:misc_RNA from 1 species
GAUGAAGAACGUAGCGAAAUGCGAUAAGUAAUGUGAAUUGCAGAAUUCCGUGAAUCAUCGAGUCUUUGAACGCACAUUGCGCCCCCUGGUAUUCCGGGGGGCAUGCCUGUCCGAGCGUCAUUGCUGCCCUCAAGCACGGCUUGUGUGUUGGGCCCCGUCCUCCGAUCCCGGGGGACGGGCCCGAAAGGCAGCGGCGGCACCGCGUCCGGUCCUCGAGCGUAUGGGGCUUUGUCACCCGCUCCGUAGGCCCGGCCGGCGCUUGCCGAUCAACCCAAAUUUUUAUCCAGGUUGACCUCGGAUCAGGUAGGGAUACCCGCUGAACUUAAGCAUAUCAAUAAGCGGAGGA